rnacentral:rRNA from 1 species
AUUGAACGCUGGCGGCAGGCCUAACACAUGCAAGUCGAGCGAGCGGCGGACGGGUGAGUAAUGUAUGGGGACUGCCCGAUAGAGGGGGAUAACUACUGGAAACGGUGGCUAAUACCGAAUACUAUCGGAUAACCCAUAUGGGAUUAGCUAGUAGGUGGGGUAAAGGCUCACCUAGGCGACGAUCUCUAGCUGGUCUGAGAGGAUGAUCAGCCUCACUGGUACUGAGACACGGCCCGGACUCCUACGGGGGCAGCAGUGUGGAAUAUUUCACAAUGGGCGGGAGCCUGUUGCAGCCAUGCCUCGUGUAUGAAGAAGGCCUUAGGGUUGUAAAGUACUUUCAGCGGGGAGGCGUUACCCGCAGGAGAAGCACCGGCUAACUCCGUGCCAGCCGCCGCGGUAAUAC